UCCCUCCGGAUCCCUUUGCCAUCAGAUCUAACCGUGGGUCCAAGUGGGGACACAAGGAGGAAAAGUAAAAUUGAAACGGACUUGGAUUGUGACGCGCAGGUUCGUUUCAAGCAAAA
rnacentral:snoRNA from 1 species